rnacentral:rRNA from 1 species
UAGGGAAUCUUCCGCAAUGGACGAAAGUCUGACGGAGCAACGCCGCGUGAGUGAAGAAGGCUUUCGGUUCGUAAAACUCUGUUGUUAGGGAAGAAAAAAUGUAUAGUAACUAUAUACAAAAGAGACGGUACCUAACCAGAAAGCCACGGCUAACUACGUGCCAGCAGCCGCGGUAAUACGUAGGUGGCAAGCGUUGUCCGGAAUUAUUGGGCGUAAAGCGCGCGCAGGUGGUUUAGAAAGUCUGAUGUUAAAGCCCACGGCUCAACCGUGGAAGGGCAGUGGAAACUAAUAAACUUGAGUGCAGGAGAGAAAAGUGGAAUUCCUGGUGUAGCGGUGAAAUGCGUAGAGAUUAGGAAGAACACCGGUGGCGAAAGCGGCUUUCUGGCCUGAAACUGACACUGAGGGGCGAAAGCGUGGGGAGCAAACGGG